GGAUGAACGCUGGCGGCGUGCCUAAUACAUGCAAGUCGAGCGAACGGACGAGAAGCUUGCUUCUCUGAUGUUAGCGGCGGACGGGUGAGUAACACGUGGAUAACCUACCUAUAAGACUGGGAUAACUUCGGGAAACCGUAGCUAAUACCGGAUAAUAUUUUGAACCGCAUGGUUCAAAAGUGAAAGACGGUCUUGCUGUCACUUAUAGAUGGAUCCGCGCUGCAUUAGCUAGUUGGUAAGGUAACGGCUUACCAAGGCAACGAUGCAUAGCCGACCUGAGAGGGUGAUCGGCCACACUGGAACUGAGACACGGUCCAGACUCCUACGGGAGGCAGCAGUAGGGAAUCUUCCGCAAUGGGCGAAAGCCUGACGGAGCAACGCCGCGUGAGUGAUGAAGGUCUUCGGAUCGUAAAACUCUGUUAUUAGGGAAGAACAUAUGUGUAAGUAACUGUGCACAUCUUGACGGUACCUAAUCAGAAAGCCACGGCUAACUACGU
rnacentral:rRNA from 1 species